rnacentral:rRNA from 1 species
UGGGGAAUAUUGGACAAUGGGCGCAAGCCUGAUCCAGCAAUGCCGCGUGGGUGAAGAAGGCCUGCGGGUUGUAAAGCCCUUUCAGUAGGGAAGAAAAGCGUGAGGUUAAUACCCUCGAGUCUUGACGUUACCUACAGAAGAAGCACCGGCUAAUUCCGUGCCAGCAGCCGCGGUAAUACGGAAGGUGCGAGCGUUAAUCGGAAUUACUGGGCGUAAAGCGCACGUAGGCGGUUGAGUAAGUCGGAUGUGAAAGCCCCGGGCUUAACCUGGGAAUGGCAUUCGAUACUGCUUGGCUAGAGUAUGGGAGAGGGUAGCGGAAUUCCGGGUGUAGCGGUGAAAUGCGUAGAUAUCCGGAGGAACAUCAGUGGCGAAGGCGGCUACCUGGGCCAAUACUGACGCUGAGGUGCGAAAGCGUGGGGAGCAAACAGGAUUAGAUACCCCCGUAGUCC